UUGCCACCAAGAAUCAUUAAUAACCUUUAAAUCAGUUUAAGCUUAUAUAAACAAAAGUUAUUAGAAACCAAAAAUUGUAUAUUUGUACAAAACUCAAACCCGGUCUAAGCUUUCUUCCAACCACAUAGGCUGAAUUUGCACACCGGCGUCACGUAAAGCAUUCAACGAAGACCGAUAAAGCCUAAUGUCUAAACGUGUACCCUCGGCUUUCAUAUCUUGCAAAAGCUUAACCAAUUCAUCAACUCGACUAAUUUUCGAGUAAACACCCACCAUGAUCCCGCCCAUCGCUCUAUCAAUCCCACCACCAUUGAGUCUAUACUCAUUGAAAUAGUUUACACAUGUUUCAAACUCGCGUGCCUUGCUAUACGCGCUUAUAACGCUAGUGUAACUAACUUUAUCGGGGCUCACUUUCCUUCUUUUCAUCUCUUUCCAUAUCUUCUCUACUUGCCUUAAGUUCGAGACUUUACCGUGCAUAUCGAGAAGAGAGUUGUAAAUCCACACGUUCGGUUCUACACCCUUUUCUUUCAUUUUAGCCACGAGUCUCAUCGCGUCUCGGAUCCUAUUUGUUUUCCCGUACAUUGCAAUCAUGCUAGAGUACGCCACCACACAUUUGUCGAAACCUUUAUUUUCCAUUUCCCAAAAUACCCCCUCGGCCUUUUUGUAGAGGCCCGUUCUACUGUACACAUUAAGGACCGACGCGUAGGUCACUUGGCCUGGUACGCAACCUUGCGAGACCAAAUCUUCAUACACUUUGGCCGCAAAACUCGGCCCUUUUUGCUUUGCAUAACCGUUUACAAUAGCACAAAAGAUGCAGUCUGAAACUCGGAUAUUCAUUUCUUUCAUGUAAGAAACAACGGCGAGUGUCUUCUCGAGUGAACGUAGAUCGAUGUACAUCAAUACGAGCUUUAAGAACACCGAAGGGUCCCUUAACAUCUUUUUACCUUUGGCUUCUUGCAAAAGCUCUUCUGCUGAUUCUACAUCUUUCACACUCACAAAUGAAGAGAUCAAUGAGGAGUAAAAAGAAGGAUCCUCCGGGAAGCCCUUUUUCGUCAUUUCCCUGAAAAAUUCAAGAGCUUCAACGGGUCGACCCGACUUCCCCAAAGACUCGCAUAAAAGCCUAUAAAUUUGGGUGCCAAAAGACGUCCAUUCGAUCUCACUCGACUGUAACUCUUGGAACAGUGAAACGACGUUCUCGUUCUUGCCCAUUUUGAGAUGAGCUUCCAUUGUGUGUGCAUAACAUUCUGCAUCUAAUUCGACACCCGAGGAUUUCAUAAGUUCAAAAACAGUAAUAGCGCUAGUAUACAUAUGAAGCUUGUUGUAGGUUUUCAUGGCGGAAUUGAAGCUACCGAUUAAUCUACAACAGUAUGACUCAUCCGGGUAGACGUUAAACUUUCUAACAUCUUCAGAAAUCGACCAAACUAAAUUCCAAUUCUCCAAACGCAUCGAGUACCUGAUAAGAUGAUGCAAAGUUGAUCUUUCGGGUACGAAAUCCGGGUUCCUCUUAGCUUUCAGGUUCGGGUUCGGGUUCAGAAGAAUCUUGAUACGGGUCAUCUUCUAAAACGGGUGGUGGGUAACUGCUGCUGGAUGAGUUGAGGACCAGGAUUCUUGAAGAGGAAGAAGAGAGGUGAGAGAGAAAAAGACGAAUCGGUGAUGUUUUUGAAGAAUUGAAGGUGAAAUUUUUGUUGAUGGAAGGUAAAUGGAAGUCUGGAGAAGAAGGUGAAAUGGCCAUUGUUGUUGAAUGAGAUAAGGAAUGGAAAUUGGAGGAAGAUGAAGGAAAAAAAGGAGUGGUAUAUAUACCUUAUCAUCCUGUUUGGUAGUUGGUUAUGCACCAGAUAUCAUGGAUAGGUGUAGUCAUAUAAAGUUAUAACUUGUACUCUGAACUUCAUAUGUUUUUACAUAAUUAGUCCUUACUGUUUCAAACAUUGUAAUCUUAGUCUGAACCUGUUUCAACCCAACAACCCGUUAAGCUAUUUGACUCAUUUAGAAAAAUGGGUUACAUGACUUUUGUGUGUCCACGUUUGACACGAAUAUAUAUGGGGCCGGU
rnacentral:lncRNA from 1 species